rnacentral:lncRNA from 1 species
UUGGGGACGCCGGGCGCCACUGAGAACCCAUACGAGGCCGCCCCAGACGGCGGGUCGCCAGGUGGGGACCAGAACGGCGCCAAGGCCGACCAGAAGAACGGCGGCAAGAACUAGGGGGACGCGGGAUAAGUGCCGUGAAGUUGGCUGGACCUGUGGGAUCGACGUCUGCGCCGUCCAGGAACCGCCCAGGAGAGAGAGCGGAGCCUCGGGAGGAGGAUGUGCGCUCCGACCCGGGCAAGGUUCCCCAUCCUUCCCUCCCUCCUCUCUCCUUCCCUCCACCUGGGCUCCGAGUCAGGAUCUGACCGCGGGCUCUGCCCAGGAAGACUGAGUUCCUUGAGAGUGACACCUGGGCGCCGGGGAAGACAGGCAGAGAAGAGACGACAGCCCUUUGAUAAGAGGGUUUUUAGACUAACUUCCAGCUGUGCUGAGUGCAUGGGGCCUGCGCCCUGAGAGGUUGCCUUUCCUUUUCCUCUCCCAGCCUGGGGGUUUGCGGUGGUGUUAAGUUCUGUUAGGGCCAAGGUGGAUCGCAGUAAGGAGAUAGAGUAGAUUUGUGAACAGCUGUCGGAGGUAGAAUCUUUGCAGACCCAGAGUGGGUGGGUGUAGACACUUUGCCAUGGGUGGUGGCUUUAUUUGUAAUCCUCCCAGUGAAAGCUUUGGGAAAUCCAGCCCUCCUAAACUCUUGGCUUGCUUGUAAGACUUUCUUGUAAGCGCAUAUCUGCGUCGUAAGACUUCUCGUGGCUAUGUGUCUUACCCUACCGUUGGUCUCACCAACAAACCAGAGCUGGGAUACCAGCAAAAAUGACCCAAUUUUUUUUUUUUACCACAUUUUUUUUUACCACAUAUUUUAUUUUAACACAUAUUUAUUUUACCACAUAUUUUAUUUUACCACAUUUGAAGAGGUCGUUGACCAUCUCCCCAAAAUGAAUCCCAGCACUGGAAGACCAAGAGGGUUGACCUUUGCUAUCUUGAAAGGUGCAGCCUGUGUAGAGAAGGUAAGCUGUGUAUUCCAUCAAAGGUCUGUGUGUGCGGGAUUGCAUUUCUAAGAGAAGGCAUUCCUGGAUCAUGAUCAUUUUGAGCUGCAUGUGGCCAAAUGCACUGGGGGAAGCAGAGUUUAGGAACUUGUUCCUGUACGGAUUAAGUGGGAAGUGAAAAGUAUUAAAUAUAUGGGCUGGAGUGGUCCAAGAAGAGAAGAGUGGACAUUCAGUACCUGUUUCUGUGCCUGUUUGGGCCCCUGCACUAAAUGCUUCACAUAUGAGAAUUAGAAGAACACUCAAAGAUGCCUGAGAUAGGCAUUUCAGUGCCAUUUUACAGACGGAAAAACUAAGAUGCGGAGAGGAUUAAGCAACUUGAAGGGACCACAUAGUGAGCAGAGCGUGGAACAGCAAGGAUUUCAACCCCAGUAGCCCAGCUUUAUGUCUGGAGGAAGUAAGUCUUAGAUUGGGACUGUCAGGCCAGGAAGAAAAGUCAGAGCAUGGACAAAGGCUCUGACGGAGUGAGGACCGUUUUAUAUGUGUUGAGGUAAACCAGGUGGAUUUCCAUUUUGGAGGAAAUUGGGAAGUCAGGCUUGGGUAGAGAGUGAUGUGUUUGGAGGGCGUGAAAUAUUUUGUGCAUCUGUAUUUUGUGCAUGUGUAUUCCACCUGUGGUGGAAUCUUGUGGCUCAGAAAGAAAGAACCUCCCUCGGGUAAUGCUAUUAAGAAAUGCCAAAGAGAUUUAGAACCAGAGUCUACCUAACCCCCUUCUCAGAAGAAAUUGUUCAGGUUUUAGCACCGAAAGUCUUACAUCUUGGAAAACUGCACCGUCCCCAGUUUUAAUGCUAAAAGUCCCUCAUCCUGGGAAAUCCCUUAGUUGUGGUUUUAGCACUGACAGUCCUGCUUCCUAGGAAACUCCUUACUUCUGGUUUUAGCCCUGAACUUCCCCAAACCCCUUAGUCCUUAACAAAUCUGGAUUUGAUCCACCUACGCUUCUAUUGGAACAGAUCCUAGAUCAGGAGCACAGGCUGGGUGGCCAUAGCAUGGACCCCCAAAAAGCCACUGUCAUGAAGAAAUAUUCUGUGAAGAAAAUCUUUGCAGGGCAUUUGAACUCCCAAAGCCACUGAGGAGAAGGUAAGGGAGUACUUUGGUGAGUUUGGGGAGGUGAGUUUCUCCCCAGGAUAUGGUUUAUUGUUCCCCAGCAGCCACCAGUGGAUGCUUUUUUCUUUCUUCCUUCACUGGUGGCGUUAUCAAUGGAGCUGCUUUCUCCUCCUUUCUUGCCUUUGGAGGGCCGCCUUUUCUGAGUUCCCUUUAGGGCCUGAGCCAGGGAAAGGCAUUGGCCCUGAGCUUUGCCUGUGUUUCCAGAUGGAGGCCAGUGACCUUUCAGUAGAUCUGAAGUCUAACAAAAGACAAUGUCUUAUUUUCAUCACACCCCAAAGAAGAGGAAUCUGUGAGAAAUAUUGUGGAGAAAUUUAACACUAUCAGUGGAAGCAAGGUCAGAUGAGAAUGAUUAUAAUAUCAAUGCAACCAUGAUCCCAUCACUGAAGAAGAAGGCUAAACAACUAUGUAAUUUUGACGAUGGAUGGAAGGACACAUACUAUUGAACUAGGAAGGUAAAUAACCAAACAGAGCAUACUGCAUAAUAUGCAGAAAAAAAUUUGAGAUUGGACAUGGUGGAGAAGGGGAUGUGCAAGCACAUGUGGAGAGCAAAUCUCACAAGUAGGAUGGGAUGAGUGAAUGCUUCUAAACCAAUCGAAAAUACUUUUGUUUCCCAAAAGACACCAAUGUUCAGUCAAAAAUAGCAACUGCUGAAUUAGCAUGGGCAUACCAGGCAAACAAGCAUGCAUUGUCAUAGCAUUCCUUUGAUUGCUCUAUGAAAUUGAGUAAAGUUUCGUUUCCUGAUUUAGGAAUUGCAGCUAAAAUACCCUCUGGACAAAGAAGAGGGGAAAUUUUGAUAACAAAUGUGUUGGUCCCUUACAGUGUAAAGCGAAUUUCUGUAUCUCACCAACAAUUCUGGUUUCUAUAGUACAUCAGUUUUAAGUAAUAUGCUGAAUCAUGGCAGCAAAAAUAUGUUUCCUCCAGCUGUUAGGUACUUUGACUUGAAAACAGAAGUUUCAAAUCAUCUUCUUCAUUUCUAUGAGGAUUUUAAUGAAACUGCUGAAAUCAUAAAAUAUUGUUGAUAUUUGUCUAAAUACAACCUAGACUUAGCUCAUCUAUCUGCAUAUUUGUCAGACAGUACAGAUGUAAAUUUUGGCAAAUUCUAUUCAGUCUAUAAACUUCUUACCAAAGAAAAUGAAAAGAUCUUAUUCAUUCAAUGCCUUGUACAUCUUAUAUACAGCACUGCUAAAAAGGGAUGUGAGUUGCUUAAAUGUGAUAUUGAGACUUUCAUAAUGAAAGCUUUUGGUUACUUUUCAAUUUCCUCAAAAAGUGCUGAAGCACUUAAGGAGAUUUUUGACUUCACAGAAAUGGAAGGUGAUAACCUCUUUAGAUGUGUGCCUACAAGAUGGCUGUCAUUGCAGCGAGCCAUAGAAAAGAUGCUAAAAUGUUGGCUUGCCAUAAGACCAUAUUUUCAAAGGACAAGAAUAAUGUCCUUUGACAUUGUUUGGGAUCUGAAAGGAGAAAAAAAUCCAGAAUCUGAAGUGGGCCUUAAAAAAAUCAGUAAGUCCCUUGUGACUUUGAUUUUUAUGAAUCUGUCUCUCAAAAGCCAGGGUGCCCCUGGAAGAACUGAGACAAACUGAGUUUCUGAACAUUUGAAAAUGAGGAGCAGGCUCAAGAUCCACAGGGUGUAACCAUCCCGUGAGGCCCUGCCUCAGCAGCCAGUCAGUGAGGCUCUUUGCCUUCUUUCCCUUUCUCUGAUUCCACCUAUGUACAACUUAUGAAAACUUGCAUUACUAUAGACUGGGAGUUUUUAAAUUGGAAACUGUGAAUCUAAAGGGGCCAGAGGAUAGAAAUCAGGAAAUCUGAAAACUUCAAUGGAGAAAAGUUUUCAUUUCUUUCCGUCAGGAAAAUAGGCAACAAACCACAGCAGUAUUAGUACCUGUGUCUCUGUCGUCACUAGGAAUCACAGAUAUCCAUGUUACAGAUAUCUUAAAAUAUUUACGUACAGCACCACUUUGAAAUUAUGGUAAUAAUUAGAUCCAACCCCUAGGUCUUGUAAUCUUUAAUAUGUUAAUAAAGAAACACAUCUAUUAUAUGACAGAUUUAAAUGUCUAACAAUUUGAUUUCAAUAAAAAUUGCAUU